rnacentral:rRNA from 1 species
GCAUAUCAAUAAGCGGAGGAAAAGAAACCAACAGGGAUUGCCUCAGUAACGGCGAAGUGAAGCGGCAACAGCUCAAAUUUGAAAUCUGGCCCCCUCGGGGUCCGAGUUGUAAUUUGGAGAAGAUGCUUCGGGUGCGGCCCCGGUCUAAGUUCCUUGGAACAGGACGUCACAGAGGGUGAGAAUCCCGUACGUGCCCGGUGGUCGCCCCCGUGUGAAGCUCUUUCGACGAGUCGAGUUGUUUGGGAAUGCAGCUCUAAAUGGGUGGUAUAUUUCAUCUAAAGCUAAAUAUUGGCCAGAGACCGAUAGCGCACAAGUAGAGUGAUCGAAAGAUGAAAAGCACUUUGGAAAGAGAGUUAAACAGUACGUGAAAUUGUUGAAAGGGAAGCGCUUGCAACCAGACUUGCGCGCGGCCGAUCAUCCGGUGUUCGCACCGGUGCACUCGACCGCGCGCAGGCCAGCAUCGGUUUGGGUGGCUGGACAAAGGCCUCGGGAAUGUGGCUCCCCUCGGGGAGUGUUAUAGCCCGAGGUGCAAUGCAGCCUACCCGGACCGAGGACCGCGCUUCGGCUAGGAUGCUGGCGUAAUGGUUGUAAGCGACCCGUCUUGAAACACGGACCAAGGAGUCUAACAUCUAUGCGAGUGUUUGGGUGUCAAACCCAUACGCGUAAUGAAAGUGAACGGAGGUGGGAACCCUUAAGGGUGCACCAUCGACCGAUCCUGAUGUCUUCGGAUGGAUUUGAGUAAGAGCAUAGCUGUUGGGACCCGAAAGAUGGUGAACUAUGCCUGAAUAGGGUGAAGCCAGAGGAAACUCUGGUGGAGGCUCGCAGCGGUUCUGACGUGCAAAUCGAUCGUCAAAUUUGGGCAUAGGGGCGAAAGACUAAUCGAACCAUCUAGUAGCUGGGUUCCUGCGA